GUAAGGAAUAUUGGUCAAUGGACGCAAGUCUGAACCAGCCAUGCCGCGUGAAGGAAGACGGCCCUACGGGUUGUAAACUUCUUUUGUACGGGAAAAAACCUCCGGUCGUGCACCGGAGCUGAUGGUACCGUAAGAAUAAGCAUCGGCUAACUCCGUGCCAGCAGCCGCGGUAAUACGGAGGAUGCAAGCGUUAUCCGGAUUCAUUGGGUUUAAAGGGUGCGCAGGCGGAAUGAUAAGUCAGUGGUGAAAUCCUACGGCUCAACUGUAGAACUGCCAUUGAUACUGUCGUUCUUGAGUACACUUGGAGUGGGCGGAAUGUGUCAUGUAGCGGUGAAAUGCUUAGAUAUGACACAGAACACCGAUCGCGAAGGCAGCUCACUAAAUUGUAACUGACGCUCAGGCACGAAAGCGUGGGGAUCAAACAGGAUUAGAAACCCCAGUAGUCC
rnacentral:rRNA from 1 species